rnacentral:rRNA from 1 species
UACGUAGGGGGCAAGCGUUGUCCGGAAUCAUUGGGCGUAAAGCGCGUGUAGGCGGCUCGAUAAGUCUGCUGUGAAAGUCCAGGGCUCAACCCUGGGAUGCCGGUGGAUACUGUCGGGCUCGAGUCCGGAAGAGGAGUGUGGAAUUCCCGGUGUAGUGGUGAUAUGCGUAGAGUAUCGGGAGGAACACCUGUGGCGAAGGCGGCUUUCUGGGCCUUACCUGACGCUGAGACGCGAAAGCGUGGGGAGCGAACCGG